rnacentral:rRNA from 1 species
CAGUCGCCACGGUAAUACGUAGGUGGCAAGCGUUGUCCGGAAUUAUUGGGCGUAAAGGGCUCGCAGGCGGUUUCUUAAGUCUGAUGUGAAAGCCCCCGGCUCAACCGGGGAGGGUCAUUGGAAACUGGGAAACUUGAGUGCAGAAGAGGAGAGUGGAAUUCCACGUGUAGCGGUGAAAUGCGUAGAGAUGUGGUGGAACACCAGUGGCGAAGGCGACUCUCUGGUCUGUAACUGACGCUGAGGAGCGAAAGCGUGGGGAGCGAACAGGAUUAGAUACCCGGGUAGUCCCUGUCUCUUAUAC